CUGAGACCGUGAUUGAGCAAUCUCACAAUAUUUCCACAAAAGGACAGUCUUUAGAAAGGACACACAGCACAAGAAUGUCUGGAAAAGGUGGUUAUCCAACACAGCCCCCCUAUCCGACACAGCCAUCUGGUGGGUACCCACAACAACAAUACCACCAACAAAUGAUGCCACAAGGCUAUGCCAUGGGACCACAGCCAUCAGCAGUGAUGCAGCCUCCAGCCUAUGCCUCUGCUCCACCUCCUCCGUACACACCUGUAGCCACAAACCCAAUGCCACAGCACUAUGGUGGGCAGGCCCCACCCCCAGCUGUAUACUACCAACAACCUCAACAGACCGUAAAUGUUGGUGCAACUUUUGACAAUGGGUGUAGAUUUGAUGGAGUAGCUCAACCAAGAAUCCCUCCACCUCCCCCUGGUUACCUCCCUAAUCAGGCACAGAUGGCUGCAGCCCAAGGUCAUGCAGUAAGAGGAACUACACGUGGAUAUAGAGAGUGUGACGGGGGCUUCACCUGGUAGAGUGCAUGUGAUGAGGACAUCACCUGGUAGAGAACUAAGAUAAAGCAAGUGUGAUGAGGGCUUCACCUGGUAGGAAAGUGGAGAUUUAUCAGAAUCCUCGACAAUUGUUUAUGAAGUAUGAGGACCAAGGAGAAGGGAAUACCUAAAAAACAUUACCACCUCCCCCGGGCUACCUCCCCAACCGAGCACAGCAGGCCACGUUCCAGGGCCAGGCAGUACAGGGAACUCAGCGCAGGUAUAGAGAAUUUGAUGAUGACUUUACCUUGUAGACAACGGAAGGACAUUACCAAACAUCAAAAUCUUACCAUAAAUGUUUUAUGGUUUCUGUUUUUUUUUUUUCACAAGAAAAGUCCCAGUCAUGCAAGUUUAAAUAAUCAUAGUUUUCAUUGUAUUGUAUGGCAUUCCUGAAGGUAUAUCUAGAAAGAAUUUUUUCGAAGAUUGAUUAAAAAAAUGAAACAUGCAAAAAUCUCUCACAAAGCCAUAAAUUUAAAGAAACUGAUAAUUACAGACGGUUUAUUUUUUCUUCAGUGGUAUUUGAAAGAAGUUUGAUUCUUUUAUAAGCCCACCAUCUGAUGAUGGUAGGCUAUACAAAUCGCCCUGUAUCUGUGGUCCGUCCAUCCAUUGUUCGGUCGUCCAUUCGUCAACUAUUUUAGAAAUCACUAUUUCUUGAGAAUACUGGAUGGAUUUUUCCCAAAUUUCAUGUGUCGGUGCCCUUUGGUCUCUUCUUGUGCCCUUUUGAUUUUGGGACUGAUCAGAAAAAACAAAAUGGCUUUCAGGUGACCAUCUUGGAUUUGGCAAGUAAAGAUUAUCAUUGUGAUUUUUGCUAAGGAAUGUUCCAAUAUCUUACCAUUAAAAGUAAAAACAGAGAAGAGAAAAGAAGAGAUAAGAUCCAACAUUCAAAGAGCAAAUAAAGAUCACACAAUGGUUGGUGCCAAGAUCCCUCUCGGAUCUCUUGUAUUAUGUGGAUAGUUCAGUUUUCAUAGAAUGGUAGGAUUUGCAGAUGUUAUGGUAAUUUUGACUACAAUCUGUGAUAAAUCAUCAGCAUUAUUAUCAUGUUAAACCAGCAUCAGAAACCAUUCUUUUUUGUAGACAUUUUAUAUUGUAAACAACUUGAUGUCAGAUAUUAAUGAUUUUAUUUUUUGUAAGAAGUCUAUUUCCUAAUGAAUUUCCAUUAUGUAGCUACUUACUUACCUCAUGCACACAUAUCAAAUAGAGGGCACUAAAUAUAUAUUCGGAAUUUUUAAUUCCCUCACAGCUGAAGCAUGUGAACCAUAAUUUCAUUUUAUUUCUUUUCAUAUUGCUACUCGGAUAUUUUGUUUUUUUAUUUGUUUAACAAAUGUUAAUUUUGGUAGGGAGUAUCUCACAGAUACUCCUAAUGCCAAAUAUUUUCCUUGAAUUGUAAAAUAGAUGCCUAGGCUAUACUGCUCAGUAACACUAUGAUGUCAGAAAAUCAGAAUUUUCCUUUUGUGUGUGAAUAAGUUUAUGGGUAUUGCCAAAAUGUCUGUGUCCAGAGAAUUAGAAAAAAAUAUGUAUUUAUGAGCAAAGGAACAUUUUAGGUUCUGGUUGUGUAAUUUCUUGAAAUAACUUGAAUUUGUGAAGAAGGUGGUAGUUAUACCAACAUGUGAAAAUUGAAUAAUUUCAUAGGUCCUGCAUUUUGUACACAAGAAAAAGUGCAUAUCCAAUUUCUAUAGAAUUUAUACAAGAUAUUCAUACAAUGUUCAUUUUAAUCAAGUCAUGACAACUAGUAGCAGACAGUCUGUUGGCACAAUUUUUAGAUAUCUCAUUUUUGUAUGAUUUAAUUGUAGUGCAGUAUAUCUGUUUGAGUCUGUUUCUUUUUGUUUAUUUGUGAUAACAAUCUCCAUUUUGUGUCAUAAUUUACAAUCAGAUAUGUAGAUUUGUUGUUCAUCUUAAGCUGUUGAAUUAAUGUUUAAAUUGUUUUUAAGUUCCUUUAAAAGUAAAUUUUACAAUAUA